GGGGAUUUAGCUCAGCGGUAGAGCACUUGCCUACCAAGCACAAGGCCCUGGGUUCGGUCCCCAGCUCCA
rnacentral:tRNA from 1 species